rnacentral:lncRNA from 1 species
UAUAAGGAGCCAGUUUAUUCCAAAAGAUGAUGACACACUUCCAACCAUUAAGGCUACAUAAAGGAUUUAUAAAUGCAGCAAUUAUUGCCGAUUUUUACAGAAAACUGGAGGGCUCAUCCUAAUGUGUUUCAUAUCUAAAUGGCUCCACUGACAGGAAUGGUCUCAUGGUAAUUUCAGUCUGAAUUUAGGCCUAUUCUUCUACUUGGGUUUUUUUUUCCCCAUUAACAAAUUAAGUUUCACACAGUACUGGAUUACAAAUCCAUCCAAACUCAACUUUAAACUAAUCUGCUAAGUACUCUUCCUCUACUUUUUUUUCCCCACUAUGAUAGCAAGUCGCUGUUUAGUAAAUUGGUGCAGGACAAUCAACAUUCAUGCUAUAAAUGGGAACAAGCGGCAGUAUUGUGGGCUGUCUACAUAUAUUCAUAGUGCUAAAUAAGAGCUAUUUAUUUUAGAAUGUAAAAACUAACAAUUCUAAUUAAUGUAUUAAAAAUCCACUAUUUAGUAACAUUAGGACUGACACCUCAUUAUAGUACACCAAUUUUUAUGGCCUUACGUCCAUUAAGUGAGGAACGUAUUCUAAUCAUAUCUUACUGUUAUGCCUGGAAAACAUAUACAUAUGUGGAAUUUUAAAGGAGAAACUACAUAUGUCCUCAUUAAAAGUAAAAAAUCUUCCUCUUUUCUGAACAAAUGUGCAAAAAAGUUUUUAUAUUGAAUUAGGAUGGUGGUUUUUUCCUUUUUCUGCAACAGUGUCAUUUUUAUGGUUAUUCUAUUACUGCUAGCCAUCUUAUACCACAGAAUAGUUAAUUUAUUUCUAACACUACUAUACAGUACUCUUGUAUUUCCCCCUUCAAACUGGAAAAUCUCACCCUGUAAAAAUAAUUCUAUGUAUGUUCUUCCAGUAGCUAUUAAUGUUUGUUUUCUAAAUCAGUCCAUAUGGCAUUACCAUUUCAAGAGUCGGUAUGUGGGUACUAUCUUCCCAUUACAAGUUAUCAAUUACAAAAAAUAACAUGCUUUAUAUUUAAAGUAUUAUAAUCUUUCAUUUUUGCUCGUUACAUUUUUUCUGUCUAUGCAACUGUAGCAUAGUCAUUGCUCUGGUCUUUUUUUUUCACUUUCCUGUGGGCUGGUGAUUGUCACCCUUGGAGUUGUGGAUGUUUUUUCAAGAUGGGAAUCAGUCU